GGCCGGGCUACCCAGGGGCCAGGGGAGGGCCAGGAAGGAGUCACAGCGUAGGAAGUGUGCCUCAGCGUUUAUAAACAUGGUCCUCAGGGUCACCCUUUACAUAGAUACAGGACUACUGACAAAGAGAAUUUGACUCUGGUUCGUUUUAAACUUUAGUAACCUAAGAGAUUACUCYUUUUGAGGCUUCAGCACUUUGUGAGAGAGCACCAAGAGAGCUUUUGAGGGAGGGAAAUUCCCCUGAGAAACCAAAGAGACCUCCAUUGACUUMUCAAUACCCUCGUCUUGACCACACCGACAUCCAGCAGAGAUGUACAGCAGCAACAGCUACUCACAGGCCAAGUUUGGCCUGGAGGCCAAGGACAUCCACAAYCCAAAGGGAAAGAGCUGCGGCUAUUACAUGAGGGUGGUCUUCUUCUUCUCCUCUCUGAUCCAGUCCCUCAUCAUCGUGAGCCUGGUGCUGUUCCUGGUCUACGGCCAGCCAGAGAAGUCUGCUGAAGAGAGGAGAGUAGAGGAGCUGGAGCAGAGUUUGAACAGGAUCAGCGAGAACAACAUUAACCUGAGGAAGGAUAAAUCUGACCUGGGAGCUGCGCUGGGGGCCAGGAAGGCUGAGAAGACAGCCCUGGAGGGAGAGGUGGCCCUGCUGAAGAAAGCAGCUAAUGCCUCCGGGGAGCAGAUCAAAGCCCUCAUACUGAAAGCGAGCCAGUGUGAAGCAGACAAGAAGAAAAUAGAGAUGAGCCGUGCRACCCAUGUCCGGGUUCCCACCACCUCUUUUCAAAACCCUUUCAUCGUCGCCACUGCUAACACCGAGGUAAAAACCCUCCAGUCUCUGAACUCCCAGCAGGCAGCAAUGAUCAAACUGAUCAAAGCCAACUUCACCCAGACCAGCCAGUACAUCCGCAUCGAGAGGGACAAUGCCAUCAAGGACCGUGACGCCCACAACCUUGAGACCAUCUCUUUGCGGAGGGAGAACAACAACCUGAAGGAACACCUGACACUCUACACCCAGAAGUGUAAAGAGGACUUUGCCAAGUCUCUGGAGGGGAUCCAAAUGGUGACCAGUAACUUCCUGGUGCGCAUCGACAACCUGUUCCCCCACUCCAUGACCUUUCACCUGACCUGUGAGAAGCAGACAGAGCAGAUGUUGAACAUCAGGGCCAGAUGCUCCAACCUGUCUAAAGAGGUUGAGGACAAGUUCCAGAAAUACCUGGACAARGUGGGGAACAAGGUGGCAAACAUCCAGGCCCAGUCCAGUAGCCUGGAGGUCCAGAACAGCCAUCUGACCCUUGACCUCCAGCAGUGUCGUCAAAACCGCAGCGUGACGGCGGCGGAGGGCAGCAGGCUGCUGCUAGAGAUCCGGGAGAACCACGACAGGCAGGUAGAGACCCUGCUGAAGGAACAGAACCGGUUGAGGGAGGAGAAGAGCCUGCAGGGAGAGAGACUGGUUCUGAAGGAGGCUGAGGUCAAAACACUCAACGGGAAUGUCGAGUCACUCACCAGCGCUCUYACCAACUGUAACCCAAAGCCUACUGGACUGAUGUCAGCCUUGAAAGGGGGGCAUCAAUGCAGCUCGCGACCCAAAGCCUACUGGACUGAUGUCAGCCUUGAAGGGGGGGCCACAAUGGAACUCGCCGACAAAAGCCUACUGACUGAUGUCAGCCUUGAAGGGGGGCCAUCAAUGGAACUCUCCGACCAAAGCUACUGGACUGAUGUCAGCCGUGAAGGGGGCCAUCAAUGCAGCUCGCCGGCCCCAAAGCCUACUGGACUGAUGUCAGCCUUUGAAGGGGGGGCAUCAAUGCAACUCGCCGGCUCAAAGCCUACUGGACUGAUGUCAGCCUUGAAGGGGGGCCAUCAAUGGAAAUCGCCGGCCCAAAGCCUACUGGACUGAUGUCAGCCUUGAAGGGGGGCCAUCAUGGAACUCGCCGGCCCAAAGCCUAUGGACUGAUGUCAGCCUUGAAGGGGGGCCAUCAAUGCAGCUCGCCGGCCCAAAGCCUACUGGACUGAUGUCAGCCUUGAAGGGGGGGCCAUCCAUUGCGCACCAGUGAUCAGUAAACCCCACCUGGUGAGGUGAGGAGAGACGGGUGUGAGGAAGAUGCCCCACUCACACAGCUCUACCUAGGCCAUGACAGAGUGAGACAAUGAAAGCACUUACUGUUAUGGUCCCUGGAGAAUUGGGCGUGGUGCCUUUCAGUGAUCAAUGUGUGCUCUUAGACCUUAAAAUGUCCAUGUGUAAAUACUGCAGACACACUAUAGGUUGUAUCUACUGUUCUACAUCAUGUACACUGAACAAAAAUAUCCUUGCAACAUGUGAAGGUGUUGGUGCCAUUUUUCAUGAGCUGAAAUAAAAGAUCUCAGAAAUGUUC